UGAGUAACACGUGAGUAACCUGCCUUGACUUGGGAUAACUUCAGGAAACUGGGGCGUAAUACCGGAUAGGAGCUCCUGCUGCAUGGUGGGGGUUGGAAAGUUUCGGCGGUUGGGGAUGGACUCGCGGCUUAUCAGCUUGUUGGUGGGGUAGUGGCUUACCAAGGCUUUGACGGGUAGCCGGCCUGAGAGGGUGACCGGCCACAUUGGGACUGAGAUACGGCCCAGACUCCUACGGGAGGCAGCAGUGGGGAAUAUUGCACAAUGGGUGGAAGCCUGAUGCAGCAACGCCGUGUGCGGGAUGACGGCCUUCGGGUUGUAAACCGCUUUCGCUCAUGACGAAGCUUCGUGUGACGGUAGUGGGUAAAGAAGCGCCGGCUAACUACGUG
rnacentral:rRNA from 1 species